rnacentral:rRNA from 1 species
GUGGAUUAGUGGCGAACGGGUGAGUAACACGUGGGCAAUCUGCCCUUCACUCUGGGACAAGCCCUGGAAACGGGGUCUAAUACCGGAUAACACUCUGUCCCUCAUGGGGCGGGGUUAAAAGCUCCGGCGGUGAAGGAUGAGCCCGCGGCCUAUCAGCUUGUUGGUGGGGUAAUGGCCUACCAAGGCGACGACGGGUAGCCGGCCUGAGAGGGCGACCGGCCACACUGGGACUGAGACACGGCCCAGACUCCUACGGGAGGCAGCAGUGGGGAAUAUUGCACAAUGGGCGAAAGCCUGAUGCAGCGACGCCGCGUGAGGGAUGACGGCCUUCGGGUUGUAAACCUCUUUCAGCAGGGAAGAAGCGCAAGUGACGGUACCUGCAGAAGAAGCACCGGCUAACUACGUGCCAGCAGCCGCGGUAAUACGUAGGGUGCGAGCGUUGUCCGGAAUUAUUGGGCGUAAAGAGCUCGUAGGCGGCUUGUCACGUCGGAUGUGAAAGCUCGGGGCUUAACCCCGAGUCUGCAUUCGAUACGGGCUAGCUAGAGUGUGGUAGGGGAGAUCGGAAUUCCUGGUGUAGCGGUGAAAUGCGCAGAUAUCAGGAGGAACACCGGUGGCGAAGGCGGAUCUCUGGGCCAUUACUGACGCUGAGGAGCGAAAGCGUGGGGAGCGAACAGGAUUAGAUACCCUGGUAGUCCACGCCGUAAACGUUGGGAACUAGGUGUUGGCGACAUUCCACGUCGUCGGUGCCGCA